GUGCAGCUCAUGACCCUCGUGGUGGGGACGGCUAGCCGGGAGAUGGGGGGCUGUUCCCAGGACGAGAGGGGACAGGGCAGGGUUUCUACGGCCAGCCUACCCAGGAUGUCUUCUCCUUCCAGGUUUCGAGGACGGUCACCCUCGGAGAGGGAGAGACCCCACGCGACAAGGACAGCAGGACGGUCGCCGGCAUGCAAGGCGGACCCGGUUACAGGACAGGCGUCUUCCAGGUCCCCCGCGGAUCGGGUGAGACCCAGUGCAUCAGGAGCACGGCCCGGAGCAGCGGGACGCUUGGGGCAGGAGAUCUGCGGUCGGUC